rnacentral:rRNA from 1 species
UGUUCCUUGUGCUCACCUGUACACUGUUCUUGAUGCUUCUAACGCAUUGAAUAUUUGCUUAAGGACAAUCGAUCGUGAUACCGAGAACAAAACAGCGUGCUUCAAGCUGGAUCUCCCAGUAGAUGACAAAGCUUGUUAUAUCAACGAACCUACCGGUUGAUUGCGAUUUACAGGUUUCUGCAGUCAGUGCGGGGAAUCCGAGCUGGAUCACAUUGAGAACACCUGGCUUGUCUUCGGACAGCUGGAUCAUGUACUCGAAUAGUGUCCUGUUCAAGAUAUUAAUGGGACCGAUGGAGCUGUCAGUAUUCACAGACGAGGGGUGAAAUCCUUAGACUCUGUGAAGACUAACAACAGCAGGCAUUCAGCUAAGAGGCCUUCAUUAAUCAAGAACGAGAGUGCAGGGAUCGAAGAUGAUCAGAUACCGUCGUAGUCUGCUACUGUAAACUAUGCAAACUAGGGAUCAGUUGAGGGUGCAACACAUAUCUGUUGACUCGGUUGGUACCUCUCCUUCUUUUUAACGCGAAAGCUUAAGUCUUCGUGUUCAGGGGGGAGUACAGUUGCAAGGCUGAAACUUAAAGGAAUUGACGGAAUGACACCACAAGGCGUGGAUGCUGCGGCAUGAUUUGACUCAACACAGAGAAUGUUACCAGAUCAUGAGGUUGGAGGAUGACAGA